rnacentral:rRNA from 1 species
GUGGGGAAUAUUGGGCAAUGGGGGAAACCCUGACCCAGCGACGCCGCGUGAGGGAAGAAGGCCUUAGGGUCGUAAACCUCUGUUGUGUGGGAAGAAGAGCGUGACGGUACCACACGAGGAAGUCCCGGCUAACUACGUGCCAGCAGCCGCGGUAAUACGUAGGGGACGAGCGUUGUCCGGAUUUACUGGGCGUAAAGGGCGCGUAGGCGGUCAUUUAAGUCAGCUGUGAAAUGGUGCGGCUUAACCGCAUCAUGCGGUUGAAACUGGAUGACUGGAGUGCUGGAGAGGCAAGUGGAAUUCCCAGUGUAGCGGUGAAAUGCGUAGAUAUUGGGAAGAACACCGGUGGCGAAGGCGACUUGCUGGCCAGCAACUGACGCUGAGGCGCGAAAGCCAGGGGAGCAAACGGGAUUAGAUACCCGGGUAGUCC